rnacentral:rRNA from 1 species
CCUACGGGACGCACCAGUGGGGAAUAUUGCACAAUGGGGGAAACCCUGAUGCAGCCAUGCCGCGUGUGUGAAGAAGGCCUUCGGGUUGUAAAGCACUUUCAGCGAGGAGGAAAGGUUGAUGCCUAAUACGUAUCAACUGUGACGUUACUCGCAGAAGAAGCACCGGCUAACUCCGUGCCAGCAGCCGCGGUAAUACGGAGAGUGCAAGCGUUAAUCGGAAUUACAGGGCGUAAAGCGCACGCAGGCGGUUGGAUAAGUUAGAUGUGAAAGCCCCGGGCUCAACCUGGGAAGUGCAUUUAAAACUGUCCAGCUAGAGUCUUGUAGAGGGGGGUAGAAUUCCAGGUGUAGCGGUGAAAUGCGUAGAGAUCUGGAGGAAUACCGGUGGCGAAGGCGGCCCCCUGGACAAAGACUGACGCUCAGAUGCGAAAGCGUGGGGAGCAAACAGGAUUAGAUACCCUCGUAGUC